GUCGAACGAAGUAGCAAUACUUAGUGGCAGACGGGUGAGUAACAUGUGGGUAUCUGCCCUUUGGCCUGGAAUAACACGAGGAAACUUGUGCUAAUACCGGAUAAGUCUUUACGGAGAAAGCUUUAUGCACCAUUGGAUGAGCCCGCACUUGAUUAGUUUGUUGGUGGGGUAAUGGCCUACCAAGACUGUGAUCAAUAGCUGAUUUGAGAGGAUGAUCAGCCACAUUGGGACUGAGACACGGCCCAAACUCCUACGGGAGGCAGCAGUGGGGAAUCUUGCACAAUGGAGGAAACUCUGAUGCAGCGAUGCCGCGUGAGUGAAGAAGGCCUUUGGGUUGUAAAGCUCUUUCGUCGGGGAAGAAAAUGACUGUACCCGAAUAAGAAGGUCCGGCUAACUUCGUGCCAGCAGCCGCGGUAAUACGAAGGGACCUAGCGUAGUUCGGAAUUACUGGGCUUAAAGAGUUCGUAGGUGGUUGAAAAAGUUGGUGGUGAAAUCCCAGAGCUUAACUCUGGAACUGCCAUCAAAACUUUUCAGCUAGAGUUUGAUAGAGGAAAGCAGAAUUUCUAGUGUAGAGGUGAAAUUCGUAGAUAUUAGAAAGAAUACCAAUUGCGAAGGCAGCUUUCUGGAUCAUUACUGACACUGAGGAACGAAAGCAUGGGUAGCGAAGAGGAUUAGAUACCCUCGUAGUCCAUGCCGUAAACGAUGUGUGUUAGACGUUGGAAAUUUAUUUUCAGUGUCGCAGCGAAAGCGAUAAACACACCGCCUGGGGAGUACGACCGCAAGGUUAAAACUCAAAUGAAUUGACGGGGACCCGCACAAGUA
rnacentral:rRNA from 1 species